rnacentral:rRNA from 1 species
UACGUAGGGGGCAAGCGUUGUCCGGAUUUAUUGGGCGUAAAGAGCGUGUAGGCGGCCAAACAGGUCCGUUGUGAAAACUGGAGGCUCAACCUCCAGACGUCGACGGAAACCGUGUGGCUAGAGUCCGGAAGAGGAGAGUGGAAUUCCUGGUGUAGCGGUGAAAUGCGCAGAUAUCAGGAAGAACACCAAUGGCGAAGGCAGCUCGCUGGGACGUAACUGACGCUGAGACGCGAAAGCGUGGGGAGCAAACAGG